rnacentral:rRNA from 1 species
GCAUAUCAAUAAGCGGAGGAAAAGAAACUAACAAGGAUUCCCCUAGUAACGGCGAGUGAAGCGGGAAGAGCUCAAAUUUAAAAUCUGGCAGCCUUGUGUUGUCCGAGUUGUAGUCUAGAGAAGCAUCAUCCGUGCUGGACCAUGUACAAGUCUCUUGGAACAGAGCGUCAUAGAGGGUGAGAAUCCCGUCCUUGACAUGGACUCCCAGUACUUUGUGUUGUGCUCUCAACGAGUCGAGUUGUUUGGGAAUGCAGCUCAAAAUGGGUGGUAAAUUCCAUCUAAAGCUAAAUAUUGGCGAGAGACCGAUAGCGAACAAGUACCGUGAGGGAAAGAUGAAAAGCACUUUGGAGAGAGAGUUAAACAGUACGUGAAAUUGUUGAAAUGGAAACGCUUGAAGUCAGUCGCGUUCUCUGGGAUUCAGCCUUGCUUCUGCUUGGUGCAUUUCCUAGUCUACGGGCCAGCAUGAAUUUUGACCAGUGGAAAAAGAUUUGGGGAAUGUGGCACCUUCGGGUGUGUUAUAGCCCCUUGUCAGAUACAUUGGUUGGGAUUGAGGUCUUAGUGCACGCUUCGGUUGUGCUUUGAUGCUGGCGUAAUGGCUUUAAACGACCCGUCUUGAAACACGG